rnacentral:lncRNA from 10 species
UAAGGACAGGGAAGCAGGCAGGGCCUCUCCUGGGGAAGUGUUCUCAGGCUUUUUAGGGCCCAGCACCAAACUGGGGGCAGGCUGCAUAGGAUCUCACACCCUUGAGCGUGAGCUGACUCUCGGGGCAUCCGUGUGAAGCACAAAGCCCAUUUCACCUAAGGUGCUCGGCACAGGCACUGCGUGCUUCAGCCAAAACACCUGCGACCAGCUGGAGACCUGGAAGGGAAGUGGGGUUCAGCGAGAAAAGCCUUGCACCCAUGGGGGAACGCCCUCCCAGUUUGCCCAGAGCCUCCUCCAUUUUAAAACAGGAAGUCCUCUGUUCCCGGAAUCCCCGCUGUCCUGGACAAAUCAGCCUGGCUUAUCCCUGCACAGCCGAUCUCCUGGCCCCAGCCCCGGCCUCCACUCCUCAGCCCCCAGGAGGCUGCCAGAGUGGCGGGACAGAACGCUGUCUGAUCCCUCGACUUCUACGCCCCAGCUCCUCCCUGGUUGCCUUUGGCCUACAGAGGAUUGAGGUGUAAGAGAGAGAAGUGGAAACCUAUGUUUGUACCACGGACAUCUCUGUGCCAGGAACAUUCAGGGCUGGCUCUCUGCUAAACCUCCCAGCUGACCUGUGGGCAGGGCUGCGCUAAAGGGUGGAGCCACACUUCUCCUUUCUACCUGAGGAAGUGACCUGGGGUUCCCCAGACUUUGUAACUCUGCUGCCCUGGAAACCACAUAUGUGUUACUAGGCAACAACAUCCAAAGCCGUGGCAGAUGUGCCUGACCUGGGCACAGGGCUGUGGAUGAGGGGGAAACCCCCGUACCUGCCAGUGUGAGCCUCAUGCUUCCUCCUGCGCCGCCUCCCGGAGGGCAAAAGAGAACGGGUCCUGGGCCCGGGCCGGCCACAUGGACUCCUCCGAGGACAGCUCCCAAGGAGAGAACAGCAGAUGCUAUGUCUCCCACCAGCAGCCACGGUGGCCUGUGGGAGCCUGCGGGUCUAACCGUCCAGCUCAGACCUCUCCCAAGGCCACACAUGGGAACUAUCACUACCAUUCCUCAGAGCGGCAAGGACAUUGCCAGUGCAAUACAGCAGGAAGAGGCCGGGCUGGCAGGGACAAAUGGGUCUGACCUCAAAGCCAAGGCCAUUUUGGUCGCAUGAUCUGAGUGGGAGAGCCCAGCAGACACAGACACUGCCCUUCACCCGCUGAAGGACGGGGACAAGCAGGUAUGAGGACCGCACUCCUGCAGCGGCUGCAAGGGUGCUGGACCGACAUUCCAGAGACCCAUGGGUGCCCCUAGACUUCUGCCCGCAGAAGCGAGCACAGCGACGCCUCCUGUGCUUCCCGGCCGGAAAGAGUAAGCGUGCCUUUGUUUUCACUCACUGUGCGACCCCACACUCCCAUCGCCCCUGGGCUGCUAAGAUGCCUGUGUUUUCAACCGACAUCAGUUUGUUCAUAUUUCAUCACCAGGUGUUGGUAGUCCUCCUCACCAGAGACCACAGAACCGUUCCUUCUACCUGAUGAGCAGGGCCUGAGCCCGUCCACCUGCAGCCAGCUGAGGAUGGCCCGGCCUGGCCUUCAGCCGGCUCUUCCCAUGCAGACACAGCCAGCCUCCUCGUCACAUUCAGUCUUCUAUUUCACUUCAUCCAUUCUAAUUCCAAACGUCUUCCCGCGCAGAAGUUUGGGAGAGGCAUCCUGUGAGCAGGUGGCUUCUUCUGGAGAUGCCUCCACCCCACCCAGCCUAGAAUAACAACAGGAACAUCAUCAGAAAGGAACUUGGGGAAUUUCCUCCUGGGCUGACCAUCCCCAGCUGGCGUCCAGCUCUCUGUGGCUGCUCCACUCCACCCACUCUCCAGCGAGGCCUCCAACACCCUGACAGCUCUCCCAGCUCCAUCCAGGGGUGGCCUCCCAAGGCAGGAAGAUCUCACUUCCUCCCCGCGGUGGUGAGAGCAGGACCUGGUCUCGGGACCACUAUGGAAAUAACCUAGUUCCUGCAGGUGCUUCAGCAUCUCUUCCUCGGCAGCCCCUUGCAAAUUACGAUCAAGGUGCAACGCAGGCCCAAGUGUGGCCUGGUUGGUGGUCAUGUCUGCUCUAUCAGUCCUCAGUCCACCUGGUCCCAGGGACAGUCAUGCUCUGGGACUUUUGCCGUGUCACACCUACAAGAGUGACAGAGCCCUCGGCCUCCCUUCAGAAAUCUGGGGUCCCUGAGGUCGGCUUCUCCAUGAUGGGCAAGGCUCCAGCCACUCAUCAGGGUCCUGCCCUCUCUCUCUGGCUGCCAGCUGCUACAUCCAGCUGUGCACAGAUUCAGAGGUUUUGCUGACCAGGACUUGAACUGGGGUUCACAUUACAAGGACACUUGCAAGUCGCUCCGGCAGACAAACUCCAGGACGAACACAGCACGGUUCGUGGAGAUUUAUGUACAUAGGGCAGAGACGGCACCCAGCCGGGUCCAGCUGGACAUGCACACUGCGGACUGGGGAGGCAUCUGGCGUGGGGACGAGGACUCGGGCCUGUCCCCAGACAGUGCGGUGGCUGCCGAUCCCUUGGUUUCUGGUAAUUGCACUUAGUUUCCUGGCAUUCAGGUCUCUGCCCCCUUGGGCCUUCAAAGUGCCAGAGCUGGGACAUGGAUGUGGUUCCAAGUUUGACAAAAUCCCCAUCGUCCCUGCAGAGUCCUUACGGCUUGGGCUGGCCAGGACCCAGCCGUGCGUCCAAAGGCUUCCCCUUAAAGCUAUUGUCAAAUAUACAUAAAUUCUGUUUGCAGUCUCUGGACUUUGAGUAGCUUGUUUCGCUGUUGAAUUUGGUUUGAGUGGGGUUGGGGUUGCCG